rnacentral:lncRNA from 1 species
UUUUUAUUUAUUUAUGAUAGUCACACAGAGAGAGAGAGAGAGAGAGAGAGAGAGAGGCAGAGACACAGGCAGAGGAAGAAGCAGGCUCCAUGCACCGGGAGCCCGACGUGGGACUCAAUCCCGGGUCUCCAGGAUCGCGCCCUGGGCCAAAGGCAGGCGCUAAACCGCUGCGCCACCCAGGGAUCCCUAUUAAAACAAUUUAAAACCAAUGGAGCAUUGAAAAUUAAUGGUAAAGGAGAAUCCGUUUAAUAAACAAUGCUGGUAUGCUUAACUACUGAAGGAAACAAUAAAGUUAGAUCCUUAUCUCAAAUUCUACACAGAAAUCCAAUUCAGGUGCAGGUAAAUAUAAAGAAAUGUAGAACAUAAUAGUUUAAAACUAAAAAAAAAAUAAUAGGAAAGUUUAUUAAAACACAAAACAAGAAAAAUCAAGAACUUCUUUUCAUUGAAGCACCAUAAAAACAAAAGACAAAUGGGAAAAGAUAUUGGCUAUAUGCAUAGAAAGUAGUAUCCAGACAUAUAAAGAAUUCCUAAAAUAUGAAAAUGGAAUCACAAACGUACUAUAUAUAUGUGAAAAUAUACUUAGCCUCAUUAGUAAUUUAAGAAAUGCCAACUAAAAUUGAAAGAUGCCAUUUCACGCCUAUCAAAUGCAAAACUUUUACAAAAGGGGGUUAGAGGAGGAAAUACCAAGGGUCAGAGAAACAAUAAAGCAAUGGAAAUUCUCAUACCCUAGUGGUAGGAGAAUAAAGUGAUAGAAUGAUUUUGGAAAACAGAAUGAAUUGAUCUUGUAAAGUUGAACAUAUGCAUAGACUGUGAUUCUGCAAUUCUACGUAAACCCACCUCAGAGUAGUGCUCCUCAAACUAUCCAUUAUGAACACCUAGUUGUAUUCAUUAAAAUUUCCAAUCUGUUACAGAUCAAUACUCAUGUAAAAUACAAUAAAAAUGAAUUGCUGGAUAAUUAGUCAUGUGCUUAGAUGUUGCAGUUAUUAAUGUUUCUAAACAUUUUCAACUUUUGUACUUAUUUUGUCACAAAAACAGUGAUAGUUUGCAGAUCAGCACCGGUCCAUAAAACACAUUUUAAAAAGCACUAUAUUAGAGCAGUGCUAUCCAAGAAAACCUCUGAUAACAGAAGUAUUGUAUAUCUGAGCUUCAAAAACUGAACUCAAAGGGUGUUUUCUGGCCACAAUGGUAUGAAAGUCUAAGUCAACAGCAGAAAGAAAUUUGAAGAAUUCACAAAUAUGUGGAAAUUAGACAACACACUUCUAAAUAACCAACAGGUCAAAAAAGAAAUCACAAGAAAAAUUAGAAAAUACCUUGAAACAAAAGAAAAUGAAAGCACAACAUAUGAAAACUUAUGGUAUACAGUGAAUAUCAAGUAGGGAAGCUGAAGGGUCUCCAUUUUAGGAAGGCUCCAUCUAUGCUGCUUCUCUGGUAGGCCCCACUUACUCAUGUUCCAUAGUUUGCCUGUGAAUAAGCCAAAGAAGGUAUGCUCCCACCUCAAGGGGAAGGAAAGGUAAUCAUUCUCUGAGUUUUGUCUUAGGCCCCAAACACCUAAUAAAUAACACCAGAAGAAGAGUCAAAUCCCAAACGUUUCAGGAUAUUAGCUUCAAACAAACCUCAGUUGUAGCUGGCAUCAAUACCUCCUACCUUCAGCAAUUUAGGAAAUGACACUUAUUGUUCACCGGACACUCAUCUUUGAUUGGACCUUACCCUGGAUUCCUGAAGGAACACAUACCAUAAACCCCUUUCCAACAUAAACUCCUAGUCCCAAGUGACAAGACUCAUUCUGCUUUCCUUUCCAAGCCUCCCAGAAACUUAGUCUGCUAUUCUCUACAUUUCACUUACACUAUUCAAUAAACUCUGUUUACACUUUCUCUGGUUCAUUUUGAUUUCUAUCCUGCUUGAAGCCAAGGACCCUCUUGGCUGCUCCUGUGAGAGGUCUCUCUGGGUCUUCAGACCCAGCAUGCCUGCAUCAAAAGCAUUGUUAAAGGGGAAAUUUAUAGCUGUAAAUGCUCAUAUUAAUAAAGAAGAAAGAUCUCAAAUCA